rnacentral:rRNA from 1 species
UACGGAGGGUGCAAGCGUUAUCCGGAUUCACUGGGUUUAAAGGGUGCGUAGGCGGGUUGGUAAGUCCGUGGUGAAAUCUCCAAGCUUAACUUGGAAACUGCCGUGGAUACUAUCAAUCUUGAAUAUCGUGGAGGUAAGCGGAAUAUGUCAUGUAGCGGUGAAAUGCUUAGAUAUGACAUAGAACACCAAUUGCGUAGGCAGCUUACUACACGAUCAUUGACACUGAGGCACGAAAGCGUGGGGAGCAAACAGG